CGUAGGGUGCGAGCGUUGUCCGGAAUUAUUGGGCGUAAAGAGCUUGUAGGCGGUUUGUCGCGUCUGCUGUGAAAAUUCGGGGCUUAACUCCGGACGUGCAGUGGGUACGGGCAGGCUAGAGUGUGGUAGGGGAGACUGGAAUUCCUGGUGUAGCGGUGAAAUGCGCAGAUAUCAGGAGGAACACCGAUGGCGAAGGCAGGUCUCUGGGCCAUAACUGACGCUGAGAAGCGAAAGCAUGGGAGCGAACAGGAUU
rnacentral:rRNA from 1 species